GAUGAAGAACGUAGCGAAAUGCGAUACUUGGUGUGAAUUGCAGAAUCCCGUGAACCAUCGAGUCUUUGAACGCAAGUUGCGCCCGAAGCCAUUAGGCCGAGGGCACGCCUGCCUGGGCGUCACACGUCGUUGCCCCCCCAUCUACUCCUUCGGGAUUGCGGGGGCGGAUGAUGGCCUCCCGUGCGCCUCGUCGCGCGGUUGGCCUAAAUGCCAAGUCCUCGGCGACGCACGCCACGACAAUCGGUGGUUGCGAAACCUCGGUUGCCUGUCGUGUGCGGUCGUCGCGCAUCGAGGGCUAGAAAAAAUUGCCGGGCUUCGGCUCGACUUUCAACGCGACCCCAGGUCAGGCGGGGUUACCCGCUGAAUUUAAGCAUAUCAAUAAGCGGAGGA
rnacentral:misc_RNA from 1 species